AGACAAUAUAAAAAGUAUAAAUACAAUCAACUAAUAUUAAAAUAUAAUAAUAAUUUUGUUUUAAAAACAUCUUAUCUUAUAACAUAUAAACGAAUAAUUAGUAAAAUAAUUGAUAAAUUUAAGUGCCAGCAAUCGCGGUUAUACUCUAAAUUUAAUUAUAUUUCGUUCAAUUAAAAUUAAUAUUUAUAUAUUUAAAUUAAUAUAAAGUAAAAUUUCAUUACACAAAUAUACAAUUCUUUUAUAAUUAAAAUUUUAAAUUUAAAAUAGGAUUAGAUACCCUAGUAUAUUAAAAAAAUAUAAGGUAGUAAAAAUUCUCUUAAACCUAUUUAUAAUGGCGGCAUUUCAUCUUAUUAGAGGAACCUGUUUUCUGAUCGAUAACCCACGUUAAAUUUCACUUAAAUUAAAAAUUUAUAUACCGCCAUCUAAAAAACUAAUCUAAUAAUAAUAUUUUAAAUAAAUAACAAAAAGUUAGGUCAAGGUGUAAUCAACAUUUAAGUAAAUAAUGGGUUACAUUAAAAACAAUUUAAGGAUUAUUUUAUUAAAACAUUACUUGAAAAAGGAUUUAAAAGUAAUAUUAAAAUAAUAUCUUAUUAUGAUUAAGAUAAUAAAUGUGCACAUAUCGCCCGUCACCCUUAUCAAAAGGUAAGGUAAGUCGUAACAUAGUUGAUGUUUUGGAAAAAGUAUC
rnacentral:rRNA from 1 species